AGGCUCCCUGAGCCCACAACCUCCCGCAGGGCUCACCCAAACUCGGCAGGUCUGGGACUAUUCCCUGUGAAGCCAACUCAUGGGCAAUUCUCCUUAGCAGCUAGUGAAUUCCCCUCCUCACCGUGUCAGCUCACCAGAAGCUCUGUAAGUAAACUUCAAGAAAAAUGUGGAAGCAAAACAAACACUUCCUCCCCCAGCGCCACGCCCUCCCAAGGAAAACGAACGGUAGGUCUCUCCUUCCAUUUCUCAGCCAAGACACGCACCUCUUACCUUCAAGCCACGGAUAACUUGAAAUCGCCACCCAAGAAGCCAGCCCUGCUCACACCAAGAGGGCGAGAAAGCCAGCAGGUCCUGGGGCCACCGAGCACCCAGCAGUCGGGACAUGGCAUCUGAUGAGCUCACCGCUGGCAGAAGAUAGGGGAUCAGCACCGAAUUGGCCAGUCCCUCCAAGCCAGAGGGGGAACAGGGCUGUGGUGAGCGACAUUUGCUGCCCAGGAGGACACAGCCAGGUCAUCACCAGUGGUGUGGCCAGUGAUGUUAUUGAAGCUGAAACUGCAUGUGACCCUUGACCCUGCUGGAAGGACACGGAUGCUUCAAGGACCCUAUGCUUUAGGACUUCCUUGAAGGUCUAGUGGUUAAGAAUCCAUCUGCCAAUGCAGAGGACAUGGGUUUGAUCCCACAUGCUGCAAAGCAACGAAACCCUUGAGAUGCAGCUCCUGAGCCUGAAAGCUGUGAUUACUGAAGCCUGCACGCCCGGAGCUCAUGCUUCACAAGAGAAGCCACCGCAAUGAGAAGCCCACACACCACAAUGAGAGAGUAGCCCACCCUGGCCGUAACUGGAGAAAGCCCAUGUGAAGCAACCAAGACCCAGCGCACCAAAAAUAAAUAAAUUUAAAAAAACGUUUUUAAUUCUAUUCUUUUAAACCAUCAGGACCACGAAGGAAAAGGAAAGACUGAGAAACGUUCAUGUUCUAACUGAAGGGUCAGCCGGAGUCCAGAUGGCACCUGGCGACUGCUACCGGCACCGCCCUAGUGUAAUGGUGGAGUCAUGCAGUGGCAAGUGGGUUUCGUAGGAGUGUCCUUGUUUGUGGGAUAGUGUCAGGUGAGUGGGUAGCAUAUGUGUCAACUGCUCGGGGAUGAUUCAGAAAAUAAAUCACUGUGAUGAGUGAAGAUCUAGAAAGCAAGGGACCGGGGGCAAACAGGAUCAAAUGUCCACCUUCAGGGAAUCCAUCUGAAAGGAGGUUCUUUGCUAUUUUUCUGUAAUUCUGAAAUUAUUUCAAAAGAAAUUAU